AGACACAGUCUUGUUCUGUCUUCCAGAUUGGAGUGCACUGGCGCGAUCUCAACUCACUGCAAACCUCCACCUCCUGGAUUCAAGCGAUUAUCGUGUCUCAGUCACCCAAGUAGCUGGGAUUACAGGUGCCCAUCACCACGCCUGGCUAAUUUUUGUAUUUUCAGUAGAGACAGGGUUUUGUCACGUUGGCUGGGCUGGUCUCGAACUCCUGACCUCAGGUGAUCUGCCCGCCUCAGUCUCCCAAAGUGCUGGAAUUAUAGGCGUGAGCCUCCAUGUCCGGCCCUUCUGAUUUCUCUUGAAAGCUGUUCUGUGUCCACCUGGAUGGAGCCACCACUCUUUUUGCACAUGAGCUGUCAGUGCAUGGGGACUAGGUUGUCCUCGACAACUCCCCACCAACAGACAUGAGGCUGCUCUGUCUCUGCUGUAAUCAACGUGCGGCGUGGGUCAUGCCUUUGGCACAUACAUGCCUGUGUGCCCCUGUGCCAGUGCCUCAGUCAGCAAGAAUCCUCGGAGGAGAACCGCUGCGCACGAGGAUCUGCCGCUGUCCGUGCUGGGCUGUGGGUAAAUUGCCUCCCCAUAGGUUGCACUUGUUCACACGCCUGUCCUCCCAAUGUCAGGCCAUGCCCCUCACUCCUAAUGCCAGGCAGCACAGAGCCAUUCAGGAGCCCUUUGGGGGCCCCUCCCAGGGAGCUCAGUCUAAUUGGAGACAGCAAAUAUGUUGGAUCUGCUUGAUUUUCAAAUGAUUUACCCAGAAACAUCUACCCUCUCAGCCCCUGGUGUGGGGAAUAUGAGCCCUUCCCUGGAAACACUGUUAGAAAAAGAAAAAAAACAAAAAGAAAGAGAGAGAGAAAGGGCUCAUUGAAUAGGGCAUCCCUAAAACGUGGACAGAGGAAGCAGAGAGAAUGGAGUCCAGACACUCGGACCCUGUUGUCACCCCACCAGGGUCCACCCAGCAACACCGAGACACUGAACAGGGCCCUCCUGAGGGCCUAGAAAUGGUGGUGAUCAGCUCCCACACCUGAGCCUCCCUAGUCCCCAAAUCACCAGCGGGGACUUUUUUACAGCCCCUCCACCCAGCCACCCUGGGUCCUGUGCAGCCAUCUGGGUCUACGCAUCUCCGGGACGCACAGAUGAGAUGGAACUGUCCCACGCAUGUUCUCUGGGGCAGAAACGGCGGCAGAGCCUGCCGAGGCCACUCUUGCCAGCUGGCCAGGGCACAGCGUCUGACCCAGGAGGCUGUGACUUCGCUGCCCCAGGCCUGGCAUGGCCUGUGGACAGUGGCCUGUCCCACCAGCCACCAGGAACCUCCCUUCAGUGCCCACCCCAUCCACCUCGCCAAGACUGAUCUAGAAAUUAUUUAUAGAUCCGAACUCCACAGAAACCAUUGUGUCUGCUGUUGCCAUGGCAAUGGGGAUGUGGCAGGAGCGCCAGGCUCUCAGGCUUUCCAGGGCCCGUGGAGGCCGGCAAGGGCGGUCGAUUUCUACCAGGAGCCCCUGACUCACACCCGCCGUCAGAGACCCCCGGGAGCGAAGAAGACAGGCUUCCCACCCUUUUCCAGCAGGGCUGGCUGCAUCCAGGAAGACAGCGCUGCUGGCCCUGCUGCACCUGCUCCCUCUUAGGACUGAAUGCCCUACGAUCCCCACCGAAUGAGGAAGGACGCUAGAGGUUACAGGACUGGUCCCCGACCGCUCAGCCAGAAACAGGCUUUGAACCCUGCUGAACUCCGGUGGCACAGGCUGCACAAGGCUUGCGUCUCCCUGGAAGGGCCACUCCUCUCUGGUCAGCGAAAUCUCCUCCCCGCCCAGGAAUCUGGACGGCCCCUGCCAUUUGCCUGGUUGUUCCCCUACCCGAGUGCCCUCGAUUUUCCCCUCUGGUCGGGGCAGGAGCGGCAGGGCUGGAUGCCAGGGCCCCAGGGGCAGGGAGGUGAGUGGGCACCACUCCUUCCCCCACGGGUAAGGUGGACAUCCAGCUUCGGACCACAUCACAGACGCCCAGGCCCCCAGCCAUAGCCGGGAUCACUCAGCUGGGUAACGUCUCCACUUCCCAGCUGGGCCAGAACUUUUCCAUGCUGCCAGGACUUGCAAGAAAACAGCUGUCUGGCUGGAAGAUGCCCCUGAGAAGUUGGCCCACCUGGUUCUCUGCAGUCUCUGGGGUACCUGCCCCCUGACCUUCAGCCAGGUCCUGCCUCUCGUAUGUCCACUCAGGAAUGCAAGGAUUUUGCCGAUGGAGGGGAGACUGCAUUGUGUUCAGAACGGAGGUUUUCACACUUUGGAAAACCACAUCCCCAGUGGCCAAGUGGUGUCAGAGAUGGGAUCUCACUACUGCCUUGAACUCCUGGCCUCAAGCGACCCUCCCGCCUCUGCGUGAGCCACCUCACCCAGCUCCCAGUGAUGUUUUUACGUGAUUUCUUAAAAUUAGGAUCCAAAUAUUAUCCACGCCAUGCAUCUUGUGGUUCUGUUGCUUUUCCCUCCCUGGCCCCUUCCCCGCUUCCCCAGCCUACCCCACCCUAAGACAGCAGGGACACCCACUUUCCCUGUGCAAAGCGGCCUUCCCAUCUCCCAUCUGUGCAUCCAACCAAGAUUCGAGGAGCACCCACCUCGUGCUAAGGACUGGGGCACAUUCCUGAAGAUGACUCUGGUCUCUGCCCUGUGGACAGCAGAGUCUAGAGGAGGAGAGAGCAGAGACAAGCGUUAGAAAAAGAGUGUCUGAUCACUCCAGACUCUGCUGAGAGGUGAGGUGCCUCCCCCUGCCUGCUCCCUCCUCCCUGCACUGAUCCCUUCCUCCUGCCCCCAGCGGGCCACCUGGUUAAUUACCACUGCCUCCCAGCUUCUCCAGCUCCCACACCUCCGACUCCCCAGCCUAAGGGAGGGCUCCUUGGUCCCCUUCCUGAAUGAUAUUUACAAGCCAGCCGCGCUGGGCUCCAGAAAGAGGAGGACUGUGGCAAUUUCCUUUUUAUCAACGAGGCUCAGAGAAGUCGGUAACAUACCCAGAGUCACCCAGAAAUGAACCCUCGGAGGCAGGAUUCAAACCCAACAGGGCCUCAGGGUCACGCUGUUUUUUCCCCUAGGGUUGAGAGAGCGGGAUCCGGGUGGACACUGGAAUUCCUCCGAGCUUAGAUGAGCUGUAUCAGGGUUCGGCAAACCAUGUCCCUUGGGCCAAAUCCCACGGCAGCCUGCUUUUGUGAAUAAAGUUUUAUUGGAACACAGCCACACCUGUGCAUUGAUAUAUUACUUAUGGCCGUUCUGUUUCUCCAAUGGCAGAGCCCAGGGGUUGCAACGGAGACCAUUUGUGCAAAAGCCAAAAAUCUUCACUAUCCAGCCCUUUACAGGAAAAGUUGGCCAAACCUUAUGCUAUAUGUUUAGCAGGAUAAAGAAAGAAAGAAACCUGUAGGAGCCUCUCUUCCCUAAAACCUAAAUUAUUUACAAUUUAAAUUUAAAGCCACUUUCAUUCAGUGGCCUAUUCUUGAACUGGCUCUGAAAAGGAUUCCUUGUUCUGGAAGGCAGACGGUGUGAGACUGUAGAGGUGAGAGUGAAAAUCUUAAGGCCCAUAUCUGAAUUCUAAGGAUAUGCUUCCCAAUCUGUGUGCAUUCCCUGCAUGAACUAUUCAAUUUAAAUUUUUAAAAAGAGGAAGAAAAUAGCCAUCUCCAUGGUUUUUCCUUCUCAUUGCUCCAAUUCCAUAACAACAAGCCCUCCAGCAAGCCUCAAUUUAUUCAAAUUCCCAAGCUGGGUUUGGAGGGGCGGGAGACAGAAAUCCUGUCCCCCAGAUCGGAUCAUGCUGUCACCAGAAUGGGCUUGGUAUUUUUUUCCAGCAAGUGUCUUGGUUUGUGUGAGGACAGAUGAUGGUGUCACGCCCACGCUGGGUAUGACAGGGGAGAGGAGUCCACAGGGGGAGCCGGGGGACUGGCCGCUUCCUCAAAGCCUGGACCCAUAGGAGGCGUUCCCUGGCGUCCACCAGCCUCUCUGAGCAACCGCCUGCCCGCAGCCAGCAGGAAUCGUCCUGGCCUACGCUUUCACACAGAGCCCUCAUGAGGAAGCCCCUGCAGGGAGAACGCUCAGAGAUGGAAAGUCACUGCCCAAGGCCACACAGCUGAGACCUAAACCCUGAAUAUCUCCAGGGCUGUCCCGUUGAUAUCUUCCAACAGCACGUGCACAGAGACAGCCAUCAGUGGGGACGCUGCCUGGAUGGAGGACAGCUAGUUUGGCGUUCGCUUCAGAACAAUCUGGGGGAGGUAGAAUGCGGGUAUGGAGGAGAGAAGAUGGCUCCCAGGUGGAAGCUGGUGAUAGGCCCCAGGUGGGCACCCCAGGUGGCACCCUAGAUGAAGUCUCGCUCUGUUGCCCAGGCUGGACUGCAAUGGCGC